rnacentral:rRNA from 1 species
GACGGAGGGUGCGAGCGUUGUUCGGAAUUACUGGGCGUAAAGCGCGCGCAGGCGGGUGCGUAAGUCGGAGGUGAAAGCGCAGGGCUCAACCCUGCGACGCCCUUCGAGACUGCGUGUCUAGGGACCGGUAGAGGUGAGUGGAAUUCCCGGUGUAGCGGUGGAAUGCGUAGAUAUCGGGAAGAACACCGGAGGCGAAGGCGGCUCACUGGGCCGGAUCCGACACUGAGGCGCGAAAGCGUGGGGAGCAAACAGG